rnacentral:rRNA from 1 species
UACAGAGGUCUCAAGCGUUGUUCGGAUUCAUUGGGCGUAAAGGGUGCGUAGGUGGCUUGGUAAGUUUGAUGUGAAAUCUCCGGGCUUAACCCGGAAAUGGCAUUGAAUACUAUUGAGCUGGAGGUUUGGAGGGGGACUGGAAUUCGUCGGUGUAGCAGUGAAAUGCGUAGAUAUCGAGAGGAACACCAGUGGCGAAGGCGAGUGCCCUGGACAACACCUGACACUGAGGCACGAAGCUAGGGGAGCAAACAGG